AACGAACGCUGGCGGCAUGCCUAACACAUGCAAGUCGAACGAGACCUUCGGGUCUAGUGGCGCACGGGUGCGUAACGCGUGGGAACCUGCCUUUAGGUUCGGAAUAACUCAGAGAAAUUUGAGCUAAUACCGGAUGAUGUCUUCGGACCAAAGAUUUAUCGCCUUUAGAUGGGCCCGCGUUGGAUUAGCUAGUUGGUGGGGUAAAGGCCUACCAAGGCGACGAUCCAUAGCUGGUCUGAGAGGAUGAUCAGCCACACUGGGACUGAGACACGGCCCAGACUCCUACGGGAGGCAGCAGUGGGGAAUAUUGGACAAUGGGCGAAAGCCUGAUCCAGCAAUGCCGCGUGAGUGAUGAAGGCCUUAGGGUUGUAAAGCUCUUUUACCCGAGAUGAUAAUGUCAGUAUCGGGAGAAUAAGCUACGGCUAACUCCGUG
rnacentral:rRNA from 1 species